GUGGGUGAAAUAGAUAAAGGGAAUGAAGAGCUACAAACCUCCAGUUAUACAAUAGAUAAGUCAUGAAAUCAUCUCUCAUUUCCAGCUCAUGCAUAGCCCCAGCAUUGUAACUGCCGCCUCCCUGAGCAGUCUGCCCUACACUCCUAGGCUUGGAGCCUGACCCUAAAGAAGCCUUUGAGAGGUGUUUUCAGUGAGAAUAUUUUUGGAUGACAUUAACAUUUAAAUUGGUGGACUUUGAGUAAAGUCCUUCCCUUUGAGUGGGCCUCAUCCAAUCUGUUGAAGACAUUAAUAGAAGGAAGGAUGACUUUCUAUCAGGACAAGGAAAUUCGCCGGCAGUCUGCCUUUGGACUCAAACUGCAAAAUCAACUUUUUCCUGGGUCUCCAGCCUGCCUACCUUCCUGCAAAUUUUGGACUUACCAAGCCUCCACAAUCAUGCAUCUCCCUGCUGGCUUUUCUAUAGCUCUUGAAAUUCCCACAUCACUCACAUAAGGGAGUAGGAGGUCCCCAGCCAGCUGUUCUCCAUUUCUCCAGAAGGCAGAAACCCAGAGAAAAUAGACUUGCAAAUCAAGCAGAAAAGAAGAAGUUGGAUGGAAGGAAAAGGCCGCUGCUCUGAAGGUCUGAUGCACACAGACAAAGGAUGCUGAAGAAGGCUGUGGAUUGCUUUUCCCUUUCCGUUGUUCUACCUGGGAACCAAUACUUCUCCCAGAAGUCCCAUAGAUCGGCCUGGAAUGCAGUGAAAGACCUUUUCAGGAUUUCUUCCAGGUCUGGAAGAUGAUUCAAACCCUAAUACCCA